rnacentral:misc_RNA from 1 species
CAUGAUACUACUUCAUACCCACCAUUUGGGUGGAAUCUCGAAGUUGACUCUUGAACUGAAGGUCUGGAAAUAAACUUGGAAGCCAAGCUUCGAAAGGCACCGAUGGCAAGCUUAGCUUUCCUGCAGGUUUCCAUGAUUGCAAAAGCUAGAUUGGAACCAGUUCCGGUUAAAGAGCGAAGGAAUCGACUAGAAACGGUGGGUAUGAAGUAGUAUCAUGUGAUUGGUCAGAAGGAAGAAUCGGUGAGCAUUGUCGGCACCAGGCCCUCGCACGGUUCUAGAGCUUCGAACCGAAUUAAGGAUUCGAACCGCA